rnacentral:sRNA from 1 species
GGACUACAGGCGCCCGCCACCACGCCCGGCUAAUUUUUUGUAUUUUUAGUAGAGACGGGGUUUCACCAUAUUAGCCAGGAUGGCCUCGAUCUCCUGACCGCGUGAUCCGCCCGCCUCGGCCUCCCAAAGUGCUGAAAUUACAGGCGUGAGCCACCGCGCCCGGCCAGAUAAGUGAGUCAUAGGUAAAAUAUUCUUCACCAGGCGAGGAUUGAGUCGCAGUCGCGUCAGGAACUCGCCUCCAGGAAACUUUGAGGGAAAUUUUGAGUCACUGGACCUUGCGGAAUUUGCUAAGAAGCAGCCAUGGUGGCGUAAGCUGUUCGGGCAGGAAUCUGGACCUUCAGCAGAAAAGUAUAGCGUGGCAACCCAGCUGUUCAUUGGAGGUGUCACUGGAUGGUGCACGGGUUUCAUAUUCCAGAAGGUUGGAAAGUUGGCUGCAACAGCUGUGGGAGGUGGAUUUUUUCUCCUUCAGCUUGCAAACCAUACUGGGUACAUCAAAGUUGACUGGCAACGAGUGGAGAAGGACAUGAAGAAA